AUAUUAUGUGAUUGGUUUAUAUCAAAUUAAUAUUCUGGUAAAUUCUUAUAAAAAGGUGACCAUCUUCAAAUCACAAGUCUACUAUAUGUCUAACAGUAGUAUAUUCAAUAGCACUUUAUUGUGUGCACAGUUAAAAAAUAAUGAUUAUGAAGGUUGUUUUCUUUUUUCAAAUGAAGGUUAUCAUUAAAAGAGUGAAUUAAUGAUACCAUUAUUAUAUCUUACUAUAAUUUCUGAAAUAAAAAACAGGAAUUCCAAAUUGAAACUAAGAAUGUUAUUCAGUCAUUGAAUAGAUGUUUGUUGUUUUGAAAUGAUGUUUUUCUGUUUUGUCUGCAAGUAUAAAAUUAUACACUUAGUCAAAAACAGUAUAUUUAAUAGUAACCACUAUUAAUGUAACCAAUAUUUUUUUUUAUCUCAAAUUAUUUAACACGUUGACCGCCAUGAGAUCUUAUAUGAGAUCUCAUCAAACAUUGUCCUGACCGCCACAGCUGGUUUUAUGUGGUUUACUAAAAAAAAUUUAAGGAAAAAAAAUUGUCUGAUUUCAUUCAAAAUUUGUACCUUAGUUUAAAAUUUUUCUGUUAAAAUGUUCCUUUUGGUUUUAACUUAAUAUAAACUGAGAUCUCAAAUUAGAUCUCAUGGCCGUAGGAUGUCACUACUAUAAAAAUUAAUUUUUUGACCAUUGCCAUGAGAUCUCAAACUAAAUCUCACUUUGAAUAAGUACUUCAAUUGAGGUUAAAUCUACUCAACUAAACUUAAAUAGGUAUUUAUUUAUUGCAUCAAAUAUAUUAUUUGAGUUAUAAAGGUAUUAUAUUAAAACAAGUUGCAUACAAUUUAUGUUGCCUUUAUUCCUAUAAAUUGCAUAAUUAUAACAAAAAAUUUAUAUGAUAUAAACAUAAUUAUAUGAAAAACAAAACUUUUGACUUUUUAUGAUGAAUAUUAACAUUAUAUGUAUAUAAAAACA